GCAGCGCGGGAGCAAUCCUGGUGGCGAGUGGCGAACGGGUGAGUAAUGUAUCGGAACGUACCUUUCAGUGGGGGAUAACGUAGCGAAAGUUACGCUAAUACCGCAUAUUCUGUGAGCAGGAAAGCAGGGGAUCGCAAGACCUUGCGCUGAUUGAGCGGCCGAUAUCAGAUUAGCUAGUUGGUGAGGUAAAGGCUCACCAAGGCGACGAUCUGUAGCGGGUCUGAGAGGAUGAUCCGCCACACUGGAACUGAGACACGGUCCAGACUCCUACGGGAGGCAGCAGUGGGGAAUUUUGGACAAUGGGCGCAAGCCUGAUCCAGCCAUGCCGCGAGAGUGAAGAAGGCCUUCGGGUUGUAAAGCUCUUUCAGCCGGGAAGAAAACGCAUGGGUUAAUACCCUGUGUGGAUGACGGUACCGGAAUAAGAAGCACCGGCUAACUACGUGCCAGCAGCCGCGGUAAUACGUAGGGUGCGAGCGUUAAUCGGAAUUACUGGGCGUAAAGCGUGCGCAGGCGGUUUGUUAAGAUAGGCGUGAAAUCCCCGGGCUCAACCUGGGAACUGCGUUUAUGACUGGCAAGCUAGAGUAUGGCAGAGGGGGGUGGAAUUCCACGUGUAGCAGUGAAAUGCGUAGAGAUGUGGAGGAACACCGAUGGCGAAGGCAGCCCCCUGGGCCAAUACUGACGCUCAUGCACGAAAGCGUGGGUAGCAAACAGGAUUAGAUACCCUGGUAGUCCACGCCCUAAACGAUGUCAACUAGGUGUUGGGAGGGUAAAACCUUUUAGUACCGGAGCUAACGCGUGAAGUUGACCGCCUGGGGAGUACGGCCGCAAGGUUAAAACUCAAAGGAAUUGACAGGGACCCGCACAAGCGGUGGAUGAUGUGGAUUAAUUCGAUGCAACGCGAAAAACCUUACCUACCCUUGACAUGUCCGGAAGCCCUUAGAGAUUUGGGUGUGCUCGAAAGAGAGCCGGAACACAGGUGCUGCAUGGCUGUCGUCAGCUCGUGUCGUGAGAUGUUGGGUUAAGUCCCGCAACGAGCGCAGCCCUUGUCGUUAAUUGCCAUCAUUUAGUUGGGCACUUUAACGAGACUGCCGGUGACAAACCGGAGGAAGGUGGGAUGACGUCAAGUCCUCAUGGCCCUUAUGGGUAGGGCUUCACACGUCAUACAAUGGUCGGUACAAAGGGUCGCCAACCCGCGAGGGGGAGCCAAUCCCAAAAGCCGAUCGUAGUCCGGAUCGUAGGCUGCAACUCGCCUGCGUGAAGUCGGAAUCGCUAGUAAUCGUGGAUCAGCAUGUCACGGUGAAUUCGUUCCCGGGUCUUGUACACACCGCCCGUCACACCAUGGGAGCGGGUUCCGCCAGAAGUAGGUAGCCUAACCGCAAGGAGGGCGCUUACCACGGCGGG
rnacentral:rRNA from 1 species